rnacentral:rRNA from 1 species
CCCUUAGAUGUUCUGGGCGGCCCGCGCACUACAAUGGCGUGUGCAGCGAGUGCCGAAGUAGAGUUUUCCGAGGUAUUCUUGCAAUGCUCGUUUUGAUGGGGAUAGACCCUUGCAACUGUUGGUUUUGAACGAGGAAUUCCAUGUAAGCAUGGUUUAUCAUCCGACGCUGAAUGCGUCCCUGCCCUUUGUACACACCGCCCGUCGCUCCUACCGAUGAGUCGUCCGGUGAAGUUCGUAGACCUCGUGAUCGCGGAUCACUGGGGGAAGCAAAAUGAACCUCGCGGUUUAGAGGAAGGAGAAGUCGUAACA